ACUGAGCGGCGGACGGGUGAGUAACGCGUGGGUAACUUGCCCCAUACAGGGGGAUAACAGUUGGAAACGGCUGCUAAUACCGCAUAAGCGCACAGUACCGCAUGGUACGGUGUGAAAAACUCCGGUGGUAUGAGAUGGACCCGCGUCUGAUUAGGUAGUUGGUGGGGUAACGGCCUACCAAGCCGACGAUCAGUAGCCGACCUGAGAGGGUGACCGGCCACAUUGGGACUGAGACACGGCCCAA
rnacentral:rRNA from 1 species